UUCUGACGUUCUCAAUCCCUGGACUUUAUUAGUGGUUUGUUUUUUUUAUGUAACCAGAGGUAGGUAAUGAAACAACAAAUAUACAAUAUAUUUACUUUGAAUGUGGCUAUUAGAAAGAUUUCUUCUAUUUCAAUCUGGCAUUAAUAUAAAUGCUUUUAUUCAUUUUAGUUGUUAAAUAAAAAAAAAUUUUCUUUAUGAACAGGCAAUCCUAAUAUUUUUGCGAGGUAUGAUCAUAACACCUCACAAGCUAUGCAUUGCUUAAUAUUUCU